rnacentral:ncRNA from 2 species
AAAAAGCUUAUAUAAGGUCAUGAUAUGGAUGAUCGUUUCUACCCGGAGCCUUAAACUCAGGACUAUAAACUUAAGUUGACUAUUC